rnacentral:SRP_RNA from 2 species
GCGCAGAAUAGGCUGGGGGGUUAGGCGUCCCCUGUAACCAGAAAUCGCCUUUGCUGGAGCCGAAGCCGUCAGGGCGGCGCAAAUAACAGGCACCGAUCCAGCAUUGGACGAUGAUGUCUCGUCCUCUGGGGCUGGAGGUGGCAUGUACGCCAGCUGGAGAGUUGGCGAUUAUGCCUUCGCCUCGGCCAGAGGAUUAGGCCCGGAAGGGAGCGGUCCAGCCGAGGACUGCCGGUGCUCAGAGGGGUGCGGGACUGAGGAAAAUGUUGGGGCAAUCGGUGUCUGUUGUUUGCGUCCACCUGUGGCGUUUCUGCGC